AGCUCAGGGCCAAUCUGCCUCCACAAAAAGAAGAGGAUUGUUGGCAGAUGUUAGCUCAGGGCUAAUCUUUCUCCAAAGCAAACAAACCUAAAAAUCUUGAAACCCCCAGCUCACCCUAAGAUUCCCCAGCCAGUGGAGUACGUUACCAUCUGCUGUCUGAGGAGACAUGCUUUCCUUUGCUUGAAAACCCCGUAAUAACCUUAUUUGGAGGCACAUGCCUUGAAAGGGGAUGCUCAUUCUCCUCAAGACCCCACACUCAUCCCUUGUUACCGUUAAUUAGCUUUAUGACUAGGGUCGAUUCCCAGCAUGCUCCAGGGACGGGAAUAUGCUAUGACCUGGGAAGAAAUAACUUACACACUAAACGAAAGGAGCUGAAUGUUUCCAAGAACCAUGAGAACGAGGAAGCAGACACUUCCCCAGUCAAGCCUCCAGAGAGAACCCAAUCCUGGUCGACAUCUUGAUGACAGGCUUGUGAGAUCCUAAGCAGAGGACCCAUUAAGCUGUGCUCACACUACUGAUUCACAGAAAUUGUGAGGUGAUUUUGAUUUGGCUGUCUGGAUGCUGAAGAAUUCCUUUAUUUAUUUAUUUUUAGUCCUUGACGUUCAAUAAUGGCUCACUAUUACUUUGGUUUGAACAGAAGUUCGUUUUAAGAACCUUGAAGACAGAUUUGUGUCCUCCGCAAGUCAAAGUCAAGGCAGCUGCUUCUGGGGGCUGUAGCACCGCUGCUAGAACCAAGAGGUGAGGGCCGCAGAAGGCACCCUGCAAGGUCACUGCAGAUGCAGCUGAGGAGAGGAGUGUAGGGUCAUCUAGAAGAGGCAGCUCUGCCCCCAGGAGCGGGAGAUUUCACCAUCAGACUCCAGAAAUUCUGGUCCCAGAGGCAAGAUGUCCCUACUGUGAGCCUGAUGUUUAAACAUGAACUUCACCUGACUCCCCCUCUUCUGAUUUCAUGUCCUCAUGGCAAUUUUCUGGCGCCAGUGAAGGGCUGCUCAUGUAGAGAGAGAAUGCAAAAAAAAAAAAAAAAAAUACAGAUUUUAAAUAUUUCUGAGUCUCUCACAGUGAUUUCUCAGGGUAAUGAGUGGCUUCUGAUUACCAUUUGGUUUUCCCAGGCUACAGGGAGAAAAGGAGAUUGUUAUGCCAACCUGAAUAAUUCCAGUCUGUGUGACAAUUCUAUUUCUCACUUUAAAUUAAUAUAUUGCCAGCCUGAUGCCUUCCCCAGGUCUUCUGCACAUUUUAGUGAGUAUGAGUCAGUAUUUUGGGGUCUGAUUGUCCCUGGACAUUGACAAGAGUGAGCCAGCCUUCUUCUAGAUAACUCUAUUUCCAUCUUCCAUUCCUCUCUAUUUAUUUCUACAUCAAGCACAGUUAAUAUUUGGUUAAUUCAUCUGUAUUAAAAUAUGUUAAGACUAGAUAAAAUUUUAAAUACCUCUGGAGAAAAUUUAUAAACUUUUUUUGGACCUCAUUUGCCUUUACUUCAUUGUCUUCAAACAAUAAGAGUAGCAUGGGGAAACUGAGACAGCUUCUUGCAAUAGUCUUGCAAAGGUCACUUGCAAAGAUCAUUUUUAUGUUGAGGAUGGAUGUCUCCUCAUUUGAAGGGUAAUGCUCUUUCUACUAAAUUCCCUGUCCAACCUAAUGGUCCUAAAGCUGUUAGUAGAAGCAAAAGGUUACUGUGUAAAACAAUGGGCUGGCAUGGGGUGAGGAUACCAGGAGAGGACCCGAAGGUGAAAUUGCUCCUGUUCAUUUGCUCUGGCAUUUCAGAUGGUGUCCUUGUUGUGGUCUUGCUUGUCUCAGAUCGACCUGUUCUUUUGAAAAGCCAGAUACAAAAGCAUAGAAGCAAGGGUUGAAGAAUCAGCAUUUGAAUUUCAGAAUGCUCGAGAGAAGGAGAUUUUGUUGAAGUUGGGUGACUUAACAAACCGACUUAACGAGCACUGUGUUUAUUUUGCGUAAACAUAAUCCCAGUUAUGAAAUUACAGCAGAAGCCUUGUUAUCUAACAAAAUGAAGACCAAUAGUUUAAUCAAAAAGUUGGAUGAAGCAUGGAAUUUAUUUUUAAAAAACCAUAGAAACC
rnacentral:lncRNA from 1 species